rnacentral:rRNA from 1 species
UAAGCGUGCGCAGGCGGUUUUGUAAGACUGUCGUGAAAUCCCCGGGCUCAACCUGGGAAUGGCGAUGGUGACUGCAAGGCUAGAGUUUGGCAGAGGGGGGUAGAAUUCCGCGUGUAGCAGUGAAAUGCGUAGAUAUGCGGAGGAACACCGAUGGCGAAGGCAAUCCCCUGGGCCUGUACUGACGCUCAUGCACGAAAGCGUGGGGAGCAAACAGGAUUAGAUACCCUAGU